rfam:Planomonospora sphaerica DNA, contig: NODE_4_L489411_C38.
CGGGAGCCGCGAGCGGUUCCCGUGGCCCGACCCCGGUACCUGACACGGCCGGGGCGG